AGCUACAGCCACACCACCCUGAACGUGUAUCAGAUCUCAGAAGCUAAGCAGGGUCGGAGCUGGUUAGUAUUUGGACAGAAGAUUGAUCUUUGGAGAUU
rnacentral:rRNA from 1 species